GGGUCGAUGCCCGAGUGGUUAAUGGGGGCGGAUUGUAAAUCCGCUAGCAUAGCUUACGUAGGUUCAAAUCCUACUCGGCCCA
rfam:Bacterium TMED277 isolate TMED277 42688, whole genome shotgun sequence.